ensembl:lncRNA
GGAAAGGACAGUGCCCAAAAUAAUUGUUCCAAAGAAAACUGAAGCUCAUUUUCCUUAGUCACUGGUUGUGUAGAGAUGAGUCAGCCUGGCUUGGAAGCACACAGUUGGGCGGAUGCAUUAGUCAGAGUCCUCUAGAGGAAGAGAAACAAUAGGAUAGACAGAGAGAGAGUUAUUGUAAGGAAUUGGCUCAUGUGAUUAUGGAGGCUGGGAAGUCCAAUAUCUGGUUUGGGCGAGCAGGCUGGAGACCCAGGAGAGCCGAUGGGACAGUUCCAGUCUGACGAUGAUCUCCUGGAGAAUUCCCUCUCGCUCAGUUUGCAGAUAGGGAAGCUGGAGACAACUCUUGUUCAGAAUCCCGUUGCGUUAUUAUUGGUACCAGGAUGUGAACUCAGUCUUUCUCACUCCUAGUCAAGUGUUCAUUGCGCUGCCCCAGAGUGGAAGCUGUUAAAUCGUCUUCAUCAUGCUUAACAUUUCCUAUUUAUUAACAAAAUUGAAGAGUCCGUAAAAAAGCCAGAUGUGGCUUUGCUUCCCCACUGGUGUUUGUCGAGGAAACAUAUCAAAGCCAUUGUCAGGAUGUAACGGCAGUUCUGAGACAUCGGAGCUCUGAACCAAGCCUGACCUUCAUUGUCUUGGCCUCUAGUGACUUUCGUGACCUUGAAGAAAGAGAGGUAAGACACAGCUCUUCUUCAUGUUUAAGAAUUUGUGCUUCCUGAGCUGACGCUGGGAACUGGUAAUCAAGUUGCACGUGGGAAUAGAAAACGGAAAUCAGGAGGACCUGGAUUGCAAAUGGGCAGCCGGCAGUGUGACACCACCACUCCUGUCUCCUUCCACGAUCUGCAUCUGCUAAAGGACGUGCCCCAGGAGCCUGGAGCCUACUUGUUCUCUUUGAUUGUGACUCAGUGUGUCACUCAGAUUGCGGGUGUGAGAGGAGAGUAAGCGUCCACAUUAUUGUUGCAAAGACGACUAGAACUCCUUGGGCAGCCUACGGACCGCGUGCUACCUAAGGGAACGUGUGUGGUGUCCCACUGGAAACCGGUAUCAUGGCACCAUCCCAUGGGGUAUGCAAGAGUCUCUGAGGAAAUCAAGACCCGGAGAGUUUAGGAUUGUCCAACAUGUCCCCACGAGCAUUCAAAUCCAGUUCUUUCAAACCUCAAAACCCAAGGUUUUCAUAAUCACUACCUCAUACAGCAUCGCUCCUGGUACAAGCCUCCAAGGUCUGAGCCAGGGAUGAUAGCAGAGAUGUAUUCUGUGGUUCCCUUGUACAAUUUCAGGCUUUCCAUGGAAAAAAAAAAAAGUUCUAGGUCCUACGGGAAACAAUUUUCACUUUCAGAUGCCAACUCUCCACCUUUAGGGUCCUGUAAGAGCACAGAGGUUCCACUAGGACCUGAGAGCUGGAUCUCAGGCCCACCCCAGACCUGCAGAAUCUGAAUCUGCCUUUGGACCAGAGGCCACAAGAUUCUCAUGAAUCUUAAAGUUUGGGAAGUGUCCCCUUCGGUCAUGAAGAGUGAAACCUUGGCGGCAUUCCCACUCUUUUCAAGGAUUGCCCUGAAGUGGUUGACCCAAAGGCAACGGAACUGAGCACUCGCUGUCUACUUUAACUCACUCUCUCAAUUCUGUCAACCAAAAACAAAGAGGCAGGUCAGAGAACUCAGGUCACGCUUUG